UAUGAGGCGUGCAAGGGAAUGAAGAUGUUUGUCCUGCCAGUAUGCAGCAAAAUAGGGGAAAUCUCGAAAGCAACUGGGAAGAUGAGAAAACAUACCUUUUAUCACGGGCCUCGGGCCUCAUGCCUACACACCCCAAUAGGUUAAGGAAUCUUUUAUUACGAAAUACCUUGGACUGGAGAGAAACUUUCGUGCUGGCAGCAUGUGCAUGGGUAAAGGGCCAUCCACAGAGAAUGGGCAACCAACUGGGGCAGCAUCUCUGAAGAAAACUGGAGCUCCUUCCCCAGCAGAUCCAGAUGUACAACUCUCAACUCCUUCUCCAGCGCCAUGACUUUAUGCCACCAUGUUUCCCACCAUGAUGAUAAUGGACUCAACCUCUGAAACUGAAGUUUCUGCGGUUGUGUUUCCAUAUGGCUUCUCAAAAGGCUUUCAGUGUUGAUAAACAUCUAGGUUCUCACCAGUUGCUGACAAUUAUGCCUAGAGACACAAUAAACAUGGGGUAAGGUGAAACAUCUAGGAAAUCUGAUGUAUACUUCCCUCCAGGCUAAGUGGUGAGCAUUUAAAAGUAUUUCUUAACCAUCUGUGUUUCAUUUUUUGAGAACUUUCUGCUAAAUUCCAUAUUCCAUCUUUUAA